GACGGAGGAUGCAAGUGUUAUCCGGAAUCACUGGGCGUAAAGCGUCUGUAGGUGGUUUAAUAAGUCAACUGUUAAAUCUUGAGGCUCAACCUCAAAAUCGCAGUCGAAACUAUUAGGCUAGAGUAUAGUAGGGGUAAAGGGAAUUUCCAGUGGAGCGGUGAAAUGCGUAGAGAUCGGCAGGAACACCCAGGGGGAAACCAGUCGACUGGGCAGCACCUGACGCUGAGGUGCGAGAGCGUGGGGAGCGAACCGG
rnacentral:rRNA from 1 species